rnacentral:rRNA from 1 species
GACGAACGCUGGCGGCGUGCUUAACACAUGCAAGUCGAACGAUGAAGUUCCUUCGGGAAUGGAUUAGUGGCGAACGGGUGAGGAACACGUGAACAAUCUGCCCCUUACACGGGAAUAACUUCGGGAAACCGAAGCUAAUACCCGAUAUUGAAUUCGGUAGGCAUCUACUGAAUUUGAAAUGGUCCGCCGGUAAGGGAUGAGUUCGCGGCCUAUCAGCUUGUUGGUGAGGUAACGGCUCACCAAGGCGACGACGGGUAGCCGGCCUGAGAGGGCGACCGGCCACACUGGGACUGAGACACGGCCCAGACUCCUACGGGAGGCAGCAGUGGGGAAUAUUGCGCAAUGGACGAAAGUCUGACGCAGCAACGCCGCGUGAGGGAUGACGGCCUUCGGGUUGUAAACCUCUUUCAAUCGGGACGAAGCGAAAGUGACGGUACCGAUACAAGAAGCACCGGCUAACUAUGUGCCAGCCGCCGCCGUAA